GCGUGGUGGCUGCUGUGUGACCAGAGACCUGCCCAGGGUGGGGUUGGGGAAGGAGGGUGAGGGAAGGAAUCCUCUGCAGCAAGCACAGCUGUGUAACAGGCCUUUGAUCCAACAGCAGAGCUGAGUCGGGCAUAUUGGAACCUCUCAUUCUCCUUUAGCAAUCUGACACGACUUGCUGCAGCUACUUCCAAAAACUUCCCCUCGUUCUGCUUAGAUUGGGGAUGGGAUGAGGACAGAAAAUGAGAGGUCUACAAAAAAGUACUUUUUCCUUCAUUUAUUGAUUACGAAGCAUUUACUAAGCAUUUACUAAGUGCUCUUGAUGGGUCCGGGCACUGCGCUCAGUGUCUUAUGUGCAUUCACUGUCUUAAUUCUUACAAUAACCAUCAAGUGGAUCAAUUUUCAACUUCCAUUUAACAGUUGAGGAAACUGAGCCUUUGGAGAGGUUAAGAAACUUGUCCAAAGGUCACAUAGUAAGAGGCAAAGGUGGGACUGGAUUCUGAUGUGAUGCCAAGGCUGUGCUCUUAACCGCUGUGCUCUUAACCACUGUGCUAUACUGCCUCCCUGUGUUAACAUCUUUUCUCUUUCCUCCCCAGCACCGGGGAAGAUAAUCGAAGAUAAGAAACCUGCUAGAUGCUUGGAGGCCUGCCACAGAUGUAGCAGUAAUAAUCUAUUCCUGACCUGGGACCCCUGACAAGAAUUGCUCUUCAAGUCAACGAGAUUUUGGCUCAUGAUCAGAUGUCCUCUCUCUCACAUGAAGUAGCAAAGAGAGGAAACUAUUUUAAGAGAGAUGAAGGGGAGUGAGAGAAAAAGAAACAUCGAUGUGAGAGAGAAACGUGGAUUUGUUGUCCUGUACCUGCCCUGACUUGGGAUCAAACCCGCAACUUAGAUAUGUACUCUGACUGGGAAUCAAACCCGCAGACUUCUGGUGUAUUAAUUACAAUUGGCAUAUAACAGUAUAACGUCCUCUCAUAUGUUGUUAACUGAAACAGCAAAAAAUGUUUAUUUUCAUUUACUAGGUAUACCAGUUAAUAAUGCAGAUUUUUUCAAUAGCUGGAAUUAUACAUAUGUUGAUAUAUAUGCGAUUUGAUAUGUAUCUUAUUUUGUUGUAUUGACAGCAUGCUUCAAAACUUCAUAUGUCAAAUUUUCUGAAGGUGUUAACAUCAUAGAAAUUUUUACGCUUAAAAAUGUCGAAUUUCAUGCCAAAAAAAGAGCAUUUGUGGGGAGUUUUAAUUCAUUACUUCAUUUUGAAGAAAAGUGCUGCUGAAUACUUUGGAAAGCUUAUGGUGAACAUGCUCCAUCUCAAGAUACUUGUGAACGCUGGUUUAAACGCAUUAAUAGUGAUGAUUUCGAUGUGAAAGAUGAAGAAUGUCCAGGUCAACUGAAAAAGUUUGAAGACCAACAAUUACAAGCAUUAUUGGACGAAGAUGCGUGUCAAACUCAAAAACAACUUGCGGAGAGAUUAAACAUUGCUCAGCAAACAAUUUCCGAUAAUUUACAAGCAGUGGGAAAGAUUUUAAAGGAAGGAAAAUGGGUGCCACAUCAAGUGAACCAAAGACAAAUGGAAAACCGAAAAGUCAUCAGUAAAAUGUUGCUUCAACAGCAUGCAAGAAAGUCUUUUUUGCAUCGAAUUGUGACUGGCGGCAAAAAGUGGAUUUAUUUUGAGAAUCCCAAAUGCACAGAAUCAUGGGUUGAUCCAGGUCAACCAUCAACAUAGGCUGAAAAGCCAAAUCGCUUCAGAAAGAAGACAAUGUUAUGCGUUUGGUGGGAUGAGGAAGGUGUGGUGUAUUAUGAGCUUCUAAAACCAGGUGAAACCGUUGAUACUGAUCGCUACCAACAACAAAUAAUCAAUUUGAACCAUGCUUUGAUCAUGAAACAACCAGAAUGUUCCAGAAGACAUGACAAAGUAAUUUUGCUUCCUGAUGAUGCAUCAUCACACACUUCAAAACCAGUUAAAGACACAUUAAAAGAUCUUGCCUGGGAAGUAUUAACCCAUUCGCUCUAUUCACCGGACCUUGCUCCUUCAGAUUACUACUUGUUCCGAUCAAUGGCACACGUACUUUCUGAGCAGCACUUCAAAACGUACGAACAAGUGGAAAAUUGGGUCUCUGAAUGGUUUGCCUUAAAACAAGAAAAGUUCUAUUGGGACGGUAUCCACAAAUAUGAAAGAUGGGGGAAAUGUGUAGCUAGCAAUGGACAUUACUUUGAAUAAAGCACUUUUGAUGUUUCUCUUGAAAUUAUUGUGUUUUCUUUGAUUACAAAAUCCGCAUUAUUAACCGGUAC